AUUAGUUAUUUCAACAACACGUUACUGUUGGCAUUAAACCAACGCCAUACCAAAGAGACACGCGAGCGACCAUGUUGAAAAAUUCGUCGCGCGCACAUACAAAUAACAACUAAUGCAAUAUAAUACAGCAUCAUAAUAGCAAUGUUAGAACUGAUGGCGAACUCAUCAACCAUUCUCUGAACGACGGACGGAAGAACAUGAAUAGCAAUCCGCACAGUGGAACUGUAAAGUAUUGGUACGCCACUCACGAAACAAAGUACUGAUGCUAUCCGCCUGUAAACAAACAACAUUUAUAACUAUGCAUAUAAUUUUCACUUAUGUUCACCAAUAUAUAUAUACACGCAUGUUGUAAAGUAGGCGAUAUUUAUAACAUUCACUUCCAUUGAUAAUGCAAGUGACUCAUAAAAAUAAGCCGUCAUAUUUACCAUUGCACGCACAUAUAUAUAUAUACUCGAAGACAAGGUACAUUUGUAAUAUUUAUUCCUAUUGAUAACAUAUACUUAUAUAUGUAUAACAAUAAAACAAAUCUCAUCUAUACUACUUACCAGUACGUAUGCAUAUAUGUAUAUAAUUAUAACUCAAGUAGCAUUCAUGAUAUUUAUUUUUACUGAUAACAUGCACGUAAAAACUAAAAUAAAACAGGGUUU